UACGUAUGGUGCAAGCGUUAUCCGGAUUUACUGGGUGUAAAGGGAGCGUAGACGGAGUGGCAAGUCUGAUGUGAAAACCCGGGGCUCAACCCCGGGACUGCAUUGGAAACUGUCAAUCUAGAGUACCGGAGAGGUAAGCGGAAUUCCUAGUGUAGCGGUGAAAUGCGUAGAUAUUAGGAGGAACACCAGUGGCGAAGGCGGUUUACUGGACGGUAACUGACGUUGAGGCUCGAAAGCGUGGGGAGCAAACAGG
rnacentral:rRNA from 1 species